rnacentral:rRNA from 1 species
CGAACGGGCGUAGCAAUACGUCAGUGGCAGACGGGUGAGUAACAACGUGGGAACGUACCUUUUGGUUCGGAACAACUGAGGGAAACUUCAGCUAAUACCGGAUAAGCCUAACGGGAAAGAUUAUCGCCGAAAGAUCGGCCCGCGUCUGAUUAGCUAGUUGGUGGGGUAAUGGCCCACCAAGGCGACGAUCAGUAGCUGGUCUGAGAGGAUGAUCAGCCACAUUGGGACUGAGACACGGCCCAAACUCCUACGGGAGGCAGCAGCG